GGGAGUUCUGGAUGUCAAUGGAGGAUUUCACCAAAAGCUUUGAAGACCUUGAUAUUUGUUGCCUCCGCCCUGAUUUUCUGGAUGGAUCUUCUGAAUGCAUUUGGACAUCUACAUGCUUCAAUGGCAGCUGGGAUGCUGGGACCACAGCUGGUGGCUGCAUAAAUAAUAGAGACACUUUCUGGACCAACCCUCAGUUUCGGGUGAGGAUCAGUGAGGACUCUGCUACUGAAAAUAUACUUGUGUCCUUGAUGCAGAAACACGAGGAUAGACACAGAAGUCUUAAUUCUAACUAUGCCAUUGGCUUCUCUGUUUAUGCGAUACCUCCAGAGGCAAGUAAAAUAUAAAAUGUCAUAUUGUGCAACUUAUAAGUUGGGUUAUUCUGAUGAGUGUUAGACUUUUUUGGUUUGUAAAUAAUUUAAUUACAAAUUUUUUAAUAUAACAGUUUGGUUUCUUAAAUACAGGUUUUUAUUUUAUUUCCAUUUAGACAAAAGUUGAAGCAGGGAAGUCCUCAGCCAGGUUCUUCAAAAGCAAACGUCCUGUGGCAGAAACUGAUAAUUUUACUUAUGCAAGGAAUGUGAUGAAAUUCUUCAAGCUUGAACCAGGAGAGUAUCUCAUUAUACCAUCCACUUACAAGCCUAAUGAAUGUGGAAAAUUCAUGCUGUCCAUCUGCACAAAAAGUAAAUCCAGAGAGAAAAAAGUGAUGACAUAUGUAUGAGGUCAUUAUCAAAGGCCAGUUUAAGACACUACUGCAAUAAAAAACUAUAAUAUAAGAAAAGUCUAAUUGAAUUGUUACAACACUACAUACACAGUUUGCAUGUGCUAAUACAUUUUUCAUGCUUGUAUUCACACUUUGUUAAUCCUGAUAAAGUUUUCUCAUAUUAGGGGUGAAUUUCAUAAUGAUUGUCAAGAAGGUAUUCUGUCAUAUUUCUUAUUGUAUGCUUUUUGAUUUUGGAGCAAAAUAUGGGUCUUGAACAUUUACUUUAUAGAUAUUGUCUUAUUUUACCUGAUGCUUUCUUAUUGUUAUCAACUACAGUGCACUACACUCACAAUAGGACAAACUUGAGCAGCAAAGGUUAUAGUUUAUGGAUCACACACUAAUGACUUGGUAAAAGUAGGUUGCUUCAAAAACUGUAAAAAUAAAUAU